rnacentral:tRNA from 1 species
GACUAAGGAGCUUGUUAAAGCAUUGGCCUUUUAAACCAAAGAUGACCGCCAGGUUCUUGGUCA